rnacentral:rRNA from 1 species
UACGUAGGGUGCGAGCGUUGUCCGGAAUUACUGGGCGUAAAGAGCUUGUAGGUGGUUUGUCGCGUUGUUCGUGAAAUCUCACGGCUCAACUGUGAGCGUGCGGGCGAUACGGGCAGACUAGAGUACUGCAGGGGGAGACUGGAAUUCCUGGUGUAGCGGUGGAAUGCGCAGAUAUCGGGAGGAACACCAGUAGCGAAGGCGACACUCUGGGCCGGUACUGACGCUGAGGAGCGAAAGCGUGGGGAGCAAACAGG